GAUGAACGCUGGCGGCGUGCCUAAUACAUGCAAGUCGAGCGAACGGACGAGAAGCUUGCUUCUCUGAUGUUAGCGGCGGACGGGUGAGUAACACGUGGAUAACCUACCUAUAAGACUGGGAUAACUUCGGGAAACCGGAGCUAAUACCGGAUAAUAUUUUGAACCGCAUGGUUCAAAAGUGAAAGACGGUCUUGCUGUCACUUAUAGAUGGAUCCGCGCUGCAUUAGCUAGUUGGUAAGGUAACGGCUUACCAAGGCAACGAUGCAUAGCCGACCUGAGAGGGUGAUCGGCCACACUGGAACUGAGACACGGUCCAGACUCCUACGGGAGGCAGCAGUAGGGAAUCUUCCGAAAUGGGCGAAAGCCUGACGGAGCAACGCCGCGUGAGUGAUGAAGGUCUUCGGAUCGUAAAACUCUGUUAUUAGGGAAGAACAUAUGUGUAAGUAACUGUGCACAUCUUGACGGUACCUAAUCAGAAAGCCACGGCUAACUACGUG
rnacentral:rRNA from 1 species